UGCCAAAAUAGGCUGUGAGGCUUCUUUCUUUCCUAUGCUUUAUUUUCUCCAAGACUUAACUGUGUAUGAGGGAGAGGGGUAUGGUGGCAGGAGGAAAGAGUGGUUUAUUUUUUGGUCCUUGAUGAUGUUUUGAUACAUGUAAUGUGUGGUGAUCAGAUCAGAGUAAUUAGCAAACCCAUCAUCUCAAACAUUUAUCAUUUCUUCGUGUUGGGAACUUUCUGAGAGGGUGUAGGCUGUGGGAGAUAAGUCCGUCACCUUUUCCUCCUGAUGUAACCAGAGUGGCUGCAGCCAGGUCCUCAGAAACUCAGAGAGUACCCAAUGGGAAAUCCCUAAGACCAAAGUCAGCAUGGGCUUCAGCCAUGGCCUGACACCAUACAAAAGAAUGACUGUCCAACAAGUAUAUGAAAAUAAGCUCCAAUUCACUGGUAGUCAAGAUAUUUAGCCAUGGAAUGGAAUGUUCUGCAUGCAGCUUUUAAAAAAUCUGUUAGAGCUAUACCAAGUGACUCAGAAGGAUUUUUGUGAAGUAUAAUUAAGUGAGAA
rnacentral:lncRNA from 1 species